CUAAUUAGGGAACUCAUGCAUUUGUUAGGUGCGGUACAAGGACCUAAAGUAGUUCCACUCAAGCAGCUAAACAAAGAUUUCGAGGAGUAUGAAUUGGUUUACGUAGAAGACCCUGAGGAUGACUUUUAUUAGCAUUAGAUGAAUGGAAGUUGGCAGGCUAGCUACCUCUAGUUGCUAGUCUUAUUUAUUUUUGUUUCCGUUGUUUCAAUAAAUGUACGAACAUCUUGAGUAUUCGUAGACUUCCUUUUAUAUGUAAUUCGAACCGCAUUUUAUU